rnacentral:rRNA from 2 species
GAGUAAUGUCUGGGAAACUGCCUGAUGGAGGGGGAUAACUACUGGAAACGGUGGCUAAUACCGCAUAACGUCGCAAGACCAAAGAGGGGGACCUUCGGGCCUCUUGCCAUCAGAUGUGCCCAGAUGGGAUUAGCUUGUUGGUGAGGUAACGGCUCACCAAGGCGACGAUCCCUAGCUGGUCUGAGAGGAUGACCAGCCACACUGGAACUGAGACACGGUCCAGACUCCUACGGGAGGCAGCAGUGGGGAAUAUUGCACAAUGGGCGCAAGCCUGAUGCAGCCAUGCCGCGUGUAUGAAGAAGGCCUU